GGGAGGCAGCAAGUGGGAAUCUUCCACAAUGGGCGCAAGCCUGAUGGAGCAACACCGCGUGAGUGAAGAAGGGUUUCGGCUCGUAAAGCUCUGUUGUUAAAGAAGAACACGUAUGAGAGUAACUGUUCAUACGUUGACGGUAUUUAACCAGAAAGUCACGGCUAACUACGUGCCAGCAGCCGCGGUAAUACGUAGGUGGCAAGCGUUAUCCGGAUUUAUUGGGCGUAAAGAGAGUGCAGGCGGUUUUCUAAGUCUGAUGUGAAAGCCUUCGGCUUAACCGGAGAAGUGCAUCGGAAACUGGAUAACUUGAGUGCAGAAGAGGGUAGUGGAACUCCAUGUGUAGCGGUGGAAUGCGUAGAUAUAUGGAAGAACACCAGUGGCGAAGGCGGCUACCUGGUCUGCAACUGACGCUGAGACUCGAAAGCAUGGGUAGCGAACAGGAUUAGAUACCCUGGUAG
rnacentral:rRNA from 1 species